AAUGACGAGCUGACCCUGGAAAUGCAACAGACGUAUGAUGAGCAAAAAGCUAACAUGGAUGAAAUGAUUAAGCAAUCCCUGCUAUCUGAUAUCAUGAAGGGGAUACAAGAGGACAAAGCAAGGUUUAGGGGAGAUGAACAGAUGAUAGGUGAAGAAGGUGUCUGUUGCCCCGAACUACAAUCCCAAUCCAAAUUGACACCACCUGCACAGUGCUCGUCGUCCUCUACCGCCUCCUCCGGUGGUGUUUCUCCUCCUGCGCAUCGCCGCCGCCAAACACGCACAGGCCCCGGUCUUUGCUGCUGCUGCCUCCCGUCCUUUCACGGCGACUCAGUGUCGUCGCUGACGUAUCCGGCCGAGGCAGACGCUGCUCAGUCUGAUUUGCAGACCAGCGCCGCCGCCGCCUCCGCUGCCCGUCAGGGUCCCCGCGGCUGCCCUCGUGGUCUCGCCGUCGCCGGUGGUCUCGAGGUAGCCCCUCGGCCUUAAAGCUAAGUUCUUUUACUCCCUUUCAUUAUUUAGUAUUUUGUUGAGAAUUUGGGCAGUAGCUAUGUAGAGUUGGAGGUCUUGAAAAUUACUACUGUGUUACUGGAAUGUGUUCAUUAUAUUGGGAACUUCAACUGCUACUUGUUCUAAGAGUUGCUACUGUCAUGAAAUUUCUACAGCCAUGAUUCUAUCUUCAAAAAUAUGCAUAUGCUUGUACGUAAAUGUAAAGGAAAAGAAGGGUUCGGGAUUCACCUUUUUGAUGUGGAAUAAAGGGUUGGUGGAUUGCAGUGCUUGACCCUGCAAUUGUGUGCAAAUCCCUCUCCUUGGACUCCUCUAUCCUACGUUGGGUUGGUGUGUGGUGUGUGCAGUGAAUUUAGGAUUUGUGAUGGUGAUGAGGGAAAAACCCAGUUUAAGCUUGUGGCUUUGGUGUAGGAAAACAAAUUACAUCCAUAGUCUUCCCUGAUGAUGUACCAGACUUUCUUGGAGUGCAAGCACGACCGUUGAACGGGCUGCGUGAACUUUCCUAUAAUUGUAAUAGAUAAGGAUUCGAUGUUACUUUUUUUUACUUGAAAUAUUCGUUCGAGAAUGAAGCAACGAUUAUUUAUAAUUCCAAGAUCAAUUAUUAUACAUGAAAAUGGCAGAUUUUGAAUA